rnacentral:rRNA from 1 species
AGUACUGUGAAGGAAAGGUGAAAAGCACUUCGAAUAGAAGGGUGAAAGAGAACCUGAAACCAUACGCCUACAAGCGGUCGGAGCACCAAUAUGGUGUGACGGCGUGCCUUUUGCAUAAUGAGCCUACGAGUUAAUUGUACUAGCGAGGUUAAGAUAUUAAGUAUCGGAGCCGUAGGGAAACCGAGUCUGAAUAGGGCGAAUAGUUAGUAUGAUUAGACGCGAAACCUUGUGAUCUACCCAUGGGCAGGUUGAAGCUUUGGUAACACAAAGUGGAGGACCGAACCGGUUGACGUUGAAAAGUCUUCGGAUGACCUGUGGGUAGGGGUGAAAGGCCAAUCAAACUGGGAGAUAGCUCGUACUCUCCGAAAUGCAUUUAGGUGCAGCGUCAAUGAUAAGUUUAUUAGAGGUAGAGCUACUGAUUGGAUGCGGGGGUUUCAUCGCCUACCAAUUCCUGACAAACUCCGAAUGCUAAUAAAUGUUCGUUGGCAGUGAGGGCAUGGGUGCUAAGGUCCAUGUCCGAGAGGGAAAGAACCCAGACCAACAGUUAAGGUCCCCAAAUAUAUGCUAAGUUGAAGCAACGCGGUUGAACUGCCUAGACAGCUAGGAUGUUGGCUUGGAAGCAGCCAUUCAUUUAAAGAGUGCGUAACAGCUCACUAGUCGAGCGGUUCGGCAUGGAUAAUAAUCGGGCAUAAGCAUAUUACCGAAGCUAUGGAUUUGUACGUAAGUACAAUUGGUAGGAGAGCAUUCUAUCGGCGUAGAAGCUGAGUCGUGAGGCUUGGUGGAGCUUAUAGAAAAGAAAAUGUAGGCAUAAGUAACGAUAAAGCGGGCGAGAAACCCGCUCACCGAAAGACUAAGGUUUCCUCAGCCAUGCUAAUCAGCUGAGGGUUAGUCGGGGCCUAACGCGAACCCGAGAGGGGUAGUGGAUGGACAUAGGGUUAAUAUUCCCUAACUUGCUCACGAGGAAAGUGACGGUUCAAUGAGACUUAAGAAGACUGACGGAAUAGUUAAGACCUAGCCUACGGGCGAAGUUGAUUAAGAGCAGUUGGAUCCAAGAAAAGCGAGUGAAGCAACCCGUACCAUAAACCGACACAGGUAGUCGAGGAGAGAAUCCUAAGGUGCUCGAGUGAGUCGUGGCUAAGGAACUAGGCAAAAUAGUCUCGUAACUUCGGGAGAAGAGACGCCAACAGCGAUGUUGGCCGCAGUGAAGAGGCCCAGGCGACUGUUUAACAAAAACACAGGACUCUGCUAAAUCGAAAGAUGCUGUAUAGGGUCUGACACCUGCCCGGUGCUGGAAGGUUAAGGAAGGUGCUUAGCGUAAGCGAAGGCAUUGACUGAAGCCCCAGUAAACGGCGGCCGUAACUAUAACGGUCCUAAGGUAGCGAAAUUCCUUGUC